rnacentral:rRNA from 1 species
GAUGAACGCUGGCGGCGUGCCUAAUACAUGCAAGUCGAGCGAACAGACGAGGAGCUUGCUCCUUUGACGUUAGCGGCGGACGGGUGAGUAACACGUGGGUAACCUACCUAUAAGACUGGGAUAACUUCGGGAAACCGGAGCUAAUACCGGAUAAUAUUUCGAACCGCAUGGUUCGAUAGUGAAAGAUGGCUUUGCUAUCACUUAUAGAUGGACCUGCGCCGUAUUAGCUAUUUGGUAAGGUAACGGCUUACCAAGGCAACGAUACGUAGCGGACCUGAGAGGGGGGUCGGCCAACUGGAAAGUAGACAACGGCCCAACCCCCCAGGGGGGGCCACAGGGGGAAUUCUGCCCAAAGGGGCAAAACCUUAACGAGGCAACCCCGGGGGGGGAAAAAGGUUUUUGGGUUCGAAAACCUUUUUAUUUGGGAAAAAACAAAGGGGGAAAAAACGUUGCCCGUCUGAAGGGAACCAAAGCAAAAGGCCCGGGUAACCUCGGG